rnacentral:rRNA from 1 species
AUUGAACGCUGGCGGCAGGCCUAACACAUGCAAGUCGAGCGAGCGGCGGACGGGUGAGUAAUGUAUGGGGACUGCCCGAUAGAGGGGGAUAACUACUGGAAACGGUGGCUAAUACCGCAUACUAUCGGAUAACCCAUAUGGGAUUAGCUAGUAGGUGGGGUAAAGGCUCACCUAGGCGACGAUCUCUAGCUGGUCUGAGAGGAUGAUAACCCACACAGUGACUGUGAGACGGGGCACACACCUACGGGGGCAGAAGAGGGGAAUAUUGCGCAAUGUGGGCAAGCGUGAUGCAGCCAUGCCGCGUGUAUGAAGAGAGCGUUAGGGUUGUAAAAUACUUUCAGCGGGGAGGGAUUACACGCAGAGGAAGCACCGGCUAACACCGUGCCAGCCGCGGCGGUAAUACUC